rnacentral:rRNA from 1 species
UACAGAGGUCUCAAGCGUUGUUCGGAUUCAUUGGGCGUAAAGGGUGCGUAGGUGGUGAUGCAAGUCUGGUGUGAAAUCUCGGAGCUCAACUCCGAAAUUGCACCGGAUACUGCGUGACUCGAGGACUGUAGAGGAGAUCGGAAUUCACGGUGUAGCAGUGAAAUGCGUAGAGAUGUGGAGGAACACCAGUGGCGAAGGCGACUCUUUGGCCUGUAACUGACGCUGAGGCGCGAAAGCGUGGGGAGCAAACAGG